CCUACGGGACGCACCAGUGGGGAAUAUUGCACAAUGGGCGCAAGCCUGAUGCAGCCAUGCCGCGUGUAUGAAGAAGGCCUUCGGGUUGUAAAGUACUUUCAGCGGGGGGGAAGGUGUUGUGGUUAAUAACCACAGCAAUUGACGUUACCCGCAGAAGAAGCAACGGCUAACUCCGUGCCAGCAGCCGCGGUAAUACGGAGGGUGCAAGCGUUAAUCGGAAUUACUGGGCGUAAAGCGCACGCAGGCGGUCUGUCAAGUCGGAUGUGAAAUCCCCGGGCUCAACCUCGGAACUGCAUUCGAAACUGGCAGACUAGAGUCUUGUAGAGGGGGGUAGAAUUCCAGGUGUAGCGGUGAAAUGCGUAGAGAUCUGGAGGAAUACCGGUGGCGAAGGCGGCCCCCUGGACAAAGACUGACGCUCAGGUGCGAAAGCGUGGGGAGCAAACAGGAUUAGAUACCCGCGUAGUC
rnacentral:rRNA from 1 species